rnacentral:rRNA from 1 species
GAUGAACGCUGGCGGCGUGCUUAACACAUGCAAGUCGAACGGAAAGGCCCAAGCUUGCUUGGGUACUCGAGUGGCGAACGGGUGAGUAACACGUGGGUGAUCUGCCCUGCACUUCGGGAUAAGCCUGGGAAACUGGGUCUAAUACCGGAUAGGACCACAUUUUGGAUGGUGUGGUGGAAAGUUUUUCGGUGUGGGAUGAGCUCGCGGCCUAUCAGCUUGUUGGUGGGGUAAUGGCCUACCAAGGCGUCGACGGGUAGCCGGCCUGAGAGGGUGUACGGCCACAUUGGGACGGGGAGACGCCCCAGACCCAUACGGGAGGGGGGGGGGGGGAAGAUUACAAAAGGGGCGCGGGCCAAAUGCGGCGACGCCGGGUGGGGGAUGCCGGCUUUGGGUUUGUAAACCCCUUUCGCUGGGAACGAACCGAAAGUGACGGUCCCGGGAGAAGAAGCCCCGGCUAACUACGUG